rnacentral:rRNA from 1 species
GGGCCCGCACAAGCGGUGGAGCAUGUUGUUUAAUUCGAUGCAACGCGAAGAACCUUACCACCCCUUGACAUCCUCGGAACUUGAUAGAGAUAUCUUGGUGCCUUCGGGAACCGAGUGACAGGUGCUGCAUGGCUGUCGUCAGCUCGUGUCGUGAGAUGUUGGGUUAAGUCCCGUAACGAGCGCAACCCUUGUCCUUACUUGCCAGCGGGUAAUGCCGGGAACUUUAAGGAGACUGCCGGUGACAAACCGGAGGAAGGUGGGGAUGACGUCAAGUCAUCAUGGCCCUCACGGGGUGGGCUACAAACGUGCUACAAUGGGAAGUACAGAGGGCUGCAACCCUGCGAAGGUGAGCGAAUCCCACAAAGCUUCUCGUAGUCCGGAUUGGAGUCUGCAACUCGACUCCAUGAAGUCGGAAUCGCUAGUAA